AGAGUUUGAUCCUGGCUCAGGAUGAACGCUGGCGGCGUGCCUAACACAUGCAAGUCGAACGGAUCUGUAUUGAAACCUAGUGAUAUACAGGUUAGUGGCGGACGGGUGAGUAACGCGUGGAUAACCUGCCGUAUACCGGGGGAUAACACUUAGAAAUAGGUGCUAAUACCGCAUGAGCGCACAGCUCCGCAUGGAGCGGUGUGAAAAACUCCGGUGGUAUACGAUGGAUCCGCGUCUGAUUAGCCAGUUGGCGGGGUAACGGCCCACCAAAGCGACGAUCAGUAGCCGGCCUGAGAGGGUGAACGGCCACAUUGGGACUGAGACACGGCCCAGACUCCUACGGGAGGCAGCAGUGGGGAAUAUUGCACAAUGGGGGAAACCCUGAUGCAGCGACGCCGCGUGAGUGAAGAAGUAUCUCGGUAUGUAAAGCUCUAUCAGCAGGAAAGAUAAUGACGGUACCUGACUAAGAAGCCCCGGCUAACUACGUG
rnacentral:rRNA from 1 species